rnacentral:rRNA from 1 species
CCCCAGCGCCACAAGUGGGAACCACAUUUAUUGGGUCUAAAGCAUCCGUAGCCGGUUAAGUAAAUUCUCUGUGAAAUCGUCGAGCCUAACUCGAGGCGUGCAGGGAACACUGCUUAACUUGAGACCAGGAGAGGUAGAAGGUAUUCUGGGGGGAGCGGUAAAAUGUUAUAAUCCCCGGAGGACCACCGAUGGCGAAGGCAUUCUACCAGAAUGGAUCUGACGGUGAGGGAUGAAAGCUAGGGGAGCGAUCCGGAUUAGAUACCCGCGUA